rnacentral:rRNA from 1 species
ACAUGCACUAGGACGCCGGUAGAGAUAUCGGGUUCCCCUUGUGGUUGGUGUGCAGGUGGUGCAUGGCUGCCGUCAGCUCGUGUCGUGAGAUGUUGGGUUAAGUCCCGCAACGAGCGCAACCCUCGUUCCAUGUUGCCAGCGGGUUAUGCCGGGGACUCAUGGGAGACUGCCGGGGUCAACUCGGAGGAAGGUGGGGAUGACGUCAAGUCAUCAUGCCCCUUAUGUCCAGGGCUUCACACAUGCUACAAUGGCCAGUACAGAGGGCUGCGAGACCGUGAGGUGGAGCGAAUCCCUUAAAGCUGGUCUCAGUUCGGAUCGGGGUCUGCAACUCGACCCCGUGAAGUUGGAGUCGCUAGUAAUCGCAGAUCAGCAUUGCUGCGGUGAAUACGUUCCCGGGCCUUGUACACACCGCCCGUCACGUCAUGAAAGUUGGUAACACCCGAAGCCGACGGCCUAACCCGUGAGGGAGGGAGUUGUCGAAGGUGGGACUGGCGAUUGGGACGAAGUCGUAACAAGGUAAGCGUAGAUGA